rnacentral:rRNA from 1 species
UACGUAGGGUGCAAGCGUUUGUCCGGAAUUACUGGGCGUAAAGAGUUCGUAGGCGGUUUGUCGCGUCGUUUUGUGAAAACCAGCAGCUCAACUGCUGGCUUGCAGGCGAUACGGGCAGACUUGAGUACUGCAGGGGAGACUGGAAUUCCUGGUGUAGCGGUGAAAUGCGCAGAUAUCAGGAGGAACACCGGUGGCGAAGGCGGGUCUCUGGGCAGUAACUGACGCUGAGGAACGAAAGCGUGGGUAGCGAACAGG